rnacentral:rRNA from 1 species
UACGUAGGGGGCAAGCGUUGUCCGGAAUCAUUGGGCGUAAAGAGCGCGUAGGCGGCCCUGUAAGUCCGCUGUGAAAACUCGAGGCUCAACCUCGAGACGUCGGUGGAAACCGUAUGGCUAGAGUCCGGAAGAGGAGAGUGGAAUUCCUGGUGUAGCGGUGAAAUGCGCAGAUAUCAGGAAGAACACCCGUGGCGAAGGCGGCUCUCUGGGACGGUACUGACGCUGAGACGCGAAAGCGUGGGGAGCGAACAGG